rnacentral:rRNA from 1 species
UACGGAGGGUGCAAGCGUUAUCCGGAUUCACUGGGUUUAAAGGGUGCGUAGGUGGGUCUGUAAGUCAGUGGUGAAAUCUCCGAGCUUAACUUGGAAACUGCCGUUGAUACUAUCAAUCUUGAAUAUCGUGGAGGUGAGCGGAAUAUGUCAUGUAGCGGUGAAAUGCUUAGAUAUGACAUAGAACACCAAUUGCGAAGGCAGCUCGCUACACGAAUAUUGACUCUGAGGCACGAAAGCGUGGGGAUCAAACAGG